AUGACAAGAGAUGCUUGAGAUGCCGUUAGGCUUGGAACCAAGACCAAAUAUUUGAUUACACACAAGUAACAACACCUCAUACUGAGCAAAGUUUAUCUCAC